rnacentral:rRNA from 1 species
AACGUAGGACGCAAGCGUUAUCCGGAGUUACUGGGCGUAAAGGGCGUGUAGGCGGCGCUGCAAGUUCGUCGUGAAAGACCCCGGCUCAACCGGGGGAGGUCGAGGGAGACUGCGGCGCUGGAGGACGGUAGAGGGACAGGGAAUUCCGGGUGUAGUGGUGAAAUGCGUAGAGAUCCGGAGGAACACCAGUGGCGAAGGCGCUGUCCUGGGCCGCACCUGACGCUGAGACGCGACAGCAUGGGGAGCGAACGGGAUUAGAAACCCCCGUAG